rnacentral:rRNA from 1 species
AUUGAACGCUGGCGGCAGGCCUAACACAUGCAAGUCGAACGAGUGGCGGACGGGUGAGCAAUGUCUGGGAAACUGCCUGACGGAGGGGGCUAACUACUGGAAACGGUAGCUAAUACCGCUUACCACCCGAUGUGCCCAGAGGGGAUUAGCUAGUUGGUGAGGGAACGGCGCACCAAGGCGACGAUCCCUAGCUGGUCUGAGAGGAUGACCGGCCACACUGGAACUGAGACACGGUCCAGACUCCUACGGGAGGCAGCAGUGGGGAAUAUUGCACAAUGGGCGCAAGCCUGAUGCAGCCAUGCCGCGUGUAUGAAGAAGGCCUUCGGGUUGUAAAGUACUUUCGGCAGGGAGGCGUUACCCGCAGAAAAAGCACCGGCUAACUCCGUGCCAGCAGCCGCGGUAAUAC